GCGGCGGCGGCGGCCUGGCCGCUUCCUGGGAACGAGUCAUCUGAUAGUGGAAAAAUGGGCUCAGAAGUUCAGAGAUGGAAGCACAUCUGUGGAGAAGCUGGAGUCAUCUGUAAAUGGUCAUUUACCCCUUGAAACUACAAAUGCGUGUUUGUAGAUACAACAGAAGUGCCUGCAUGUGUGGCUGGCUGAGGAGCGAGUUGGUGGCUGGCUUCUUUUGAGAGGGCCUCAAGUGUUUAUCGCUGUGAUGAUAGACUGGAACACUCGAAGAAGUGGUUUACUAAAGAUAUGCUGGGAGCUGGAAAGAGAGGCUGAACAUGCUGUGUGGGACACGUCUGUUGUGGUCAGUCUGACCAGUUGCAUAAAGACAGUGAUCUGCCCAACAGGCGAAAGGGUGGGUACCUCUGUGGAGGUGGCAGAAAUGUUGGAGGAAGCUACUAGGCACAGGUUCAGCCUCUCUCGUUUUUGUUUUCUUUUUCUUGGGUUUUCUCUCUCAUAUGUGAAUGUAUUAGACAUGUAACUGACACGUAAGUAAUCACAGCCUUCAAGUCUAGUGACUUCCAAAUGAAAUUUAGCAGCAGAGAAAU